UGGGGAAUAUUGCGCAAUGGGGGAAACCCUGACGCAGCGAGGCCGUGUGAGGGAAGAAGGCCUUCGGGUCGUAAACCUCUGUCGGGAGGGAAGAACCGCCGGUUUCCGAACAGGGAGCCGGUCUGACGGUACCUCCGAAGGAAGCGCCGGCUAACUCCGUGCCAGCAGCCGCGGUAAUACGGAGGGCGCGAGCGUUAAUCGGAAUCACUGGGCGUAAAGCGCGCGUAGGCGGCUUGAUAAGUCGGGCGUGAAAGCCCUCGGCCCAACCGAGGAACUGCGUUCGAUACUGUUAGGCUUGAGUCCUGGAGAGGGUGGCGGAAUUCCGGGUGUAGGAGUGAAAUCCGUAGAUAUCCGGAGGAACACCGGUGGCGAAGGCGGCUUUCUGGACCGACACUGACGCUG
rnacentral:rRNA from 1 species